ACAGACGAGUUUGAUCAUGGCUCAGAUUGAACGCUGGCGGCAUGCUUUACACAUGCAAGUCGAACGGUAACAGGCCUUCGGGUGCUGACGAGUGGCGAACGGGUGAGUAAUGCAUCGGAACGUGCCCAAUCGGUGGGGGAUAACGUAGCGAAAGUUACACUAAUACCGCAUAAGCCCUGAGGGGGAAAGUGGGGGACCGCAAGGCCUCACGCGAAUGGAGCGGCCGAUGUCAGAUUAGCUAGUUGGUGGGGUAAAGGCUCACCAAGGCGACGAUCUGUAGCGGGUCUGAGAGGAUGAUCCGCCACACUGGGACUGAGACACGGCCCAGACUCCUACGGGAGGCAACAGUGGGGAAUUUUGGACAAUGGGCGCAAGCCUGAUCCAGCCAUGCCGCGUGCGGGACGAAGGCCUUCGGGUUGUAAACCGCUUUCAGCCGGAAAGAAAUCGCUGUUUUUAAUACGGACAGUGGAUGACGGUACCGGAAGAAGAAGCACCGGCUAACUACGUG
rnacentral:rRNA from 1 species